UCCCGCUUAGCUCAGUGGUAGAGCGCGUCACUAGUAAAUAUCGCUGGUCAAGCUCGUGCAAUUGGUUGUGUGAUGACGAGGCCGCUUGUUCGAGUCAGGCAGUGGGAA